rnacentral:rRNA from 1 species
GAUGAACGCUGGCGGCGUGCCUAAUACAUGCAAGUCGAGCGAACGGACGAGAAGCUUGCUUCUCUGAUGUUAGCGGCGGACGGGUGAGUAACACGUGGAUAACCUACCUAUAAGACUGGGAUAACUUCGGGAAACCGGAGCUAAUACCGGAUAAUAUUUUGAACCGCAUGGUUCAAAAGUGAAAGACGGUCCUGCUGUCACUUAUAGAUGGAUCCGCGCUGCAUUAGCUAGUUGGUAAGGUAACGGCUUACCAAGGCAACGAUGCAUAGCCGACCUGAGAGGGGGAUCGGCCACACUGGAACUGAGACACGGUCCAGACUCCUACGGGAGGCAGCAGUAGGGAAUCUUCCGCAAUGGGCGAAAGCCUGACGGAGCAACGCCGCGUGAGUGAUGAAGGUCUUCGGAUCGUAAAACUCUGUUAUUAGGGAAGAACAUAUGUGUAAGUAACUGUGCACAUCUUGACGGUGCCUAAUCAGAAAGCCACGGCUAACUACGUG